UACGAAGGGGGCUAGCGUUGUUCGGAAUUACUGGGCGUAAAGGGCGCGUAGGCGGCGUGUCAAGUCAGGCGUGAAAGCCCUGGGCUCAACCCAGGAAGUGCAUUCGAAACUGCCGAGCUGGAGUCCUGGAGAGGAAGGCGGAAUUCUCGGUGUAGAGGUGAGAUUCGUAGAUAUCGAGAGGAACACCGGUGGCGAAGGCGGCCUUCUGGACAGUGACUGACGCUGAGACGCGAAAGCGUGGGGAGCAAACAGG
rnacentral:rRNA from 1 species